rnacentral:lncRNA from 1 species
CUUUUCUUAGUUUUUAAGUUCUUUUCCCAAUUGUCUUCAACCUCUCUUAAUUGUGUUUUGAAUUGCAUUUUGAGUUCUUCCAAAGCCUGUAUCCAAUUUGCUGGGAUUUCUGAUUUUUCCUUUGCUGAUCCUUCCCCCUCUCUUUCAUUUGCUCUUUGCUUGUGACUUGGGCAAAAGUUGUCUAUGGAAAUUUCUUUCUUUUUCUCCCGGUUUUUGGCUCCUUUUUUCCCCUUCUUUUCUCCCCGUAUUGGUCGGGGCUCUGGCUCCUCUCAUUUUUUGGGGGGGGGGGGGGCUUUUUGUCAGUCUCUUGGAGCUUUGUCAUAUCUCUCAGUAUAGUCUCUGGGGCAGAAAUGUUGGCUUCCCUCUCCUUUUGAGGCUUUUGAUUGGAUUAAUUUCAGCUGGGUUGGGUUGUAUGUUCUCUGAGGCUGAAAACUCCUGAAAGGUUGGAGCCAAAUGGAAGGUCUCAGCCACCCAGGUUCUCUCCAGUUCUCUCCAGCUGCUUCCCUGACACCUUCAUUUCACACUCUGAGCCUGGCACCACCCUGUGCACAAGGUACACCCUCUAGUCCAGUGCCUUUGCCCUCCCAAAGAUUCCUGUCCUUGCUGGAGGCCCUCAACUCUAAGGGGGGAGAGGUCCUGGCCUCCCAGGGCUCUGAGGACUCCUGAUGGGAUUAGGUUCAACUGAGUCUGGAUGUGCCCCAAGGCAAAAACCUCCAGUGAGACUGGAGCCAAAUGGAAGGACCCAGACACUGGGGCUGUCAGCUCUUCGAUCUCUCUUUGGCUGCUUCCCUUCCACCUGUAUUGUACACUCGGAGCUGGGGACAGCUCUGUUCACAAUGUAACCUCCAGACCAGCACCUUUGUCUGCCCAGAGGUUCCUGCUUCUGCUGGGGGCUCAGCAUUCUGAGUUGGUGGUGAGGGGUCCUGGGACCUUCUUUCUGCCUUCCCCUUAGACCUGAGUGUUCUCAGAUUCUGGCUUUUGGGGGGCGUACCUUUUGAAUUGAGUCCAGUAGGACAAUUCCCAGACUCUGUCCUGUUAUUAAGUUUGAAUUUCAG